rnacentral:tRNA from 1 species
GGCCCGUAGCUCAGCUGGCUAGAGCGUGCGACUGAUAAUCGCAAGGUCGGUGGUUCGAGCCCACUCGGGCCCACCAA